ACUCUAGUAUUGACUCCAAUCCACAUGUAUUGACGUGGAUUGGGGUUUAACUUAAACUAAUUUACACCCUAAUCCACCUCGUCACAUGUGGAUUGUGGUCAAUACUAGA
rnacentral:pre_miRNA from 1 species